GUUUCCGGUGGUGUCCAAUCCGACCUGAGGAGUCACAGUUGUGAGCAAAUUAGAAUUACUUGUUAUUGGUAAAUAGCCACUAUGGAGACUAAGGACCAGAAGAAACAAAGAAAGAAAAAUAGUGGACCCAAAGCUGCAAAGAAAAAGAAGCGGCAUCUGCAGGAUCUCCAGCUAGGAGACGAAGAAGAUGCCUGGAAGAGAAAUCCCAAAGCUUUUGCAUUUCAGUCUGCUGUGUGGAUGGCUCGAUCCUUUCACAGGACUCAGGAUUUGAAGACAAAAAAGCAUCAUAUUCCAGUGGUUGAUCGAACUCCACUAGAGCCCCCACCAAUAGUGGUAGUGGUGAUGGGGCCUCCAAAGUUGGAAAGAGCACUUUGAUACAAUGCCUCAUUCGGAACUUCACCCGGCAGAAGUUGACCGAGAUCAGAGGCCCUGUGAUGAUCGUGUCAGGUAAAAAGCUCCGACUCACCAUUAUUGAAUGUGGGUGUGACAUUAACAUGAUGAUUGAUCUGGCUGAAGUAGCAGAUCUGGUACUGAUGCUUAUAGAUGCCAGCUUUGGGUUUGAAAUGGAAACGUUUGAGUUUCUAAACAUCUGUCAAGUACAUGGCUUUCCUAAAAUUAUGGGAGUUCUCACCCACCUCGACUUCUUCAAACACAAUAAGCAACUGAAGAAGACAAAGAAGCGAUUAAAACACAGGUUCUGGACAGAAGUUUACCUGGUUGCCAAGCUGUUCUGCCUUUCUGGAAUGGUGCAUGGAGAAUAUCAAAACCAAGAAAUGCACAAUCUGGGCCAUUUUAUUACAGUUAUGAAGUUUAGGCCUCUCACAUGGCAGACUUCUCAUCCUUAUAUCCUGGCAGACAGGGUGGAAGAUUUGACAAACCCAGAGGAUAUCCAAACAAACAUCAGAUGUGACCAGCAGAUGUUACUUUACGGUUAUUUAAGAGGAGCGCACUUGAAAAAUAAAAGCCAAAUUCACAUGCCAGGACGAGGUGGGGCCCACCCAUGAGCUGGUCCAGAGUCUCAUCUCCACCCACUCCACCAUUGAUGCCAAGAUGGCUUCAAGUCGAGUGAUGUUGUUUUCUGAUUCCAAGCCACUUGGGUCAGAGGCUAUAGAUAAUCAAGGGGACGAGUUCUCACUAUGUUGCCCAGGCUGGCCUCGAACUCCUGGGCUCAAGCAAUCCUCCUGCGUUGGCCUCCCAAAGUCCUGGGAUUACAGGUGUAAGCCACUACGGCUGGCCUAUUAUUGCUGUAUUCUAACUUAUUCAUCUCCUAUGUGUCAGAGAUGGCUUUGGAUUCCCCGUUCUGUGUGCUGCUGUCUGGCUCCUGAACCCAGCUGUAGAGGUGUGUCAAUCCCAACUGGUGAAGUACUGAGAGGAAGCUACACAAAAGGCAGCAAAGUAUUAGUGAGUGGUGUCAUUGAGCAAACACGAAGUCGGGCUCAUCCAAGGAUGAGAUUUUGCCAGAGAAAGGACGAGCAGCAAGUCAGGGAGCUUAAGAGACGAGGUUUCACUAUGUAGGCAAAGCUGGUCUCGAACUCCUGACCUCAGAUGAUCCACCCGCCUCAGCCUCCCAAAGUGCUGGGAUUACAGGCGUGAGCCACCGCACCUGGCCUGUUUAUUCUCUUAAGAGAGAAAAUGAGGGGAUUAAUGGACUGUAGUUCUGGACAAGGUGGAAAACUCUUAAAGUGGAAGUAUUGGGGCAAGUGCUCUGACAGGCUAGGAUGGUGCAGUCAGUCCCUUCACCCAGAAAUCAGUAGAAUGUUAACAGUUCAGACUCAAACCUUGUGAAAAACAGGUGGUGGAAAGGAAAUCCCUCACAGCAACUGGCACCAUAAUCAAGACAGAAUGUUUGCAGAAUAAAUGGAGUUACCUGCUUUCAGCCCCAGGUUGUAGCUAUUGUCUGCCCUGAUGAUAUGUGAUAAUAAUUUGUGAUCCUAUUGUCUUAAAAUGGGGUCACUCAUCUCCAGUAGAAUUAAGUCCACAGUGAAGUUGUCCCCCCAUCCCCAAAGAGAUAAACAUAUAUGAAUGAACUCACAUGAUAACAACUACUGCUGCCUGGGAUCAUGAGAGACCUGAACUGAACUGAUAGGAAGUGAAAGGUGGCUGAGAUAAUGAGAAUAGACCCAUCUGCAGAGGAUCAUAAAACCAGCAAAGACAAGAUCUUGUCUAAGAUGCCUUCACAAACUUUGUCCAUGAGAACUCUAAGGACUUCUCCAGACCUGUUGGCUGCUGCUGUGAUCUCUGCCCAAGAGGAGCCUCUGACCAACAUCCAAAGGGCUUCUGGACCCACUGGACUCCUCUGGAGCGUCAGCCUCGAGUUUGACCAGCAACAGGGGUCGGUGUGUCCCUCUGAAUCUGAGAUCUAUGAGGCAGGAGCUGGGGACAGGAUGGCAGGAGCGCCCAUGGCUGCUGCUGUGCAGCCUGCUGAGGUGACCGUUGAAGUUGGUGAGGACCUCCACAUGCACCACAUUCGUGACCAGGAGAUGCCUGAAGCUUUGGAGUUUAGCCUUUCUGCCAAUCCAGAGGCAAGCACAAUAUUCCAGAGGAACUCUCAAACAGAUGCUUUGGAGUUUAACCCUUCUGCCAAUCCAGAGGCAAGCACAAUAUUCCAGAGGAACUCUCAAACAGAUGUUGUAGAAAUAAGAAGAAGCAACUGUACAAACCAUGUAUCUACUGAGCGUUUCAGUCAACAAUACAGCUCGUGUUCGACAAUAUUCCUUGAUGACAGCACAGCCAGCCAGCAUUAUCUUACAAUGACAAUAAUAUCUGUGACCUUGGAGAUACCUCAUCAUAUCACACAAAGAGAUGCAGAUAGAUCUUUGAGCAUACCUGAUGAACAGUUACACUCAUUUGCGGUUUCCACCGUGCACAUUACGAAGAACAGAAAUGGAGGUGGGAGUUUAAAUAACUAUUCCUCCUCCAUUCCAUCGACUCCCAGCACCAGCCAGGAGGACCCUCAGUUCAGUGUUCCUCCCACUGCCAACACACCCACCCCCGUUUGCAAGCGGUCCAUGCGCUGGUCCAACCUGUUUACAUCUGAGAAAGGGAGUCACCCAGACAAAGAGAGGAAAGCCCCGGAGAAUCAUGCUGACACCAUCGGGAGCGGCAGAGCCAUCCCCAUUAAACAGGGCAUGCUCUUAAAGCGAAGUGGGAAAUGGCUGAAGACAUGGAAAAAGAAAUACGUCACCCUGUGUUCCAAUGGCGUGCUCACCUAUUAUUCAAGCUUAGGUGAUUAUAUGAAGAAUAUUCAUAAAAAAGAGAUUGACCUUCGGACAUCUACCAUCAAAGUCCCAGGAAAGUGGCCAUCCCUAGCCACAUCGGCCUGUGCACCCAUCUCCAGCUCUAAAAGCAAUGGCCUAUCCAAGGACAUGGACACCGGGCUGGGUGACUCCAUAUGCUUCAGCCCCAGUAUCUCCAGCACCACCAGCCCCAAGCUCAACCCGCCCCCCUCUCCUCAUGCCAAUAAAAAGAAACACCUAAAGAAGAAAAGCACCAACAACUUUAUGAUUGUGUCUGCCACUGGCCAAACAUGGCACUUUGAAGCCACGACGUAUGAGGAGCGGGAUGCCUGGGUCCAAGCCAUCCAGAGCCAGAUCCUGGCCAGCCUGCAGUCAUGCGAGAGCAGUAAAAGCAAGUCCCAGCUGACCAGCCAGAGCGAGGCCAUGGCCCUGCAGUCGAUCCAAAACAUGCGUGGGAACGCCCACUGUGUGGACUAUGAGACCCAGAAUCCUAAGUGGGCCAGUUUGAACUUGGGAGUCCUCAUGUGUAUUGAAUGCUCAGGAAUCCACCGCAGUCUUGGCACCCGCCUUUCCCGUGUGCGAUCUCUGGAGCUGGAUGACUGGCCAGUUGAGCUCAGGAAGGUUAUGUCAUCUAUUGGCAAUGACCUAGCCAACAGCAUCUGGGAAGGGAGCAGCCAGGGGCAGACAAAACCCUCAGUAAAGUCCACGAGGGAAGAGAAGGAACGGUGGAUCCGUUCCAAAUAUGAGGAGAAGCUCUUUCUGGCCCCACUACCCUGCACUGAGCUGUCCCUGGGCCAGCACCUGCUGCGGGCCACCGCUGAUGAGGACCUGCAGACAGCCAUCCUGCUGCUGGCACAUGGCUCCCGUGAGGAGGUGAACGAGACCUGUGGGGAGGGAGACGGCUGCACGGCGCUCCAUCUGGCCUGCCGCAAGGGGAAUGUGGUCCUGGCACAGCUCCUGAUCUGGUACGGGGUGGACGUCAUGGCCCGAGAUGCCCACGGGAACACAGCGCUGACCUACGCCCGGCAGGCCUCCAGCCAGGAGUGCAUCAACGUGCUUCUGCAGUACGGCUGCCCCGACGAGUGCGUGUAGUAUCUGUUUUAUUUGACUGCAGUCUCCUUGGUGCAAAAACAAAAUGGGAAAAAUAAGGAUAACUCAGAAUUUCAAAAGGAAAUCACAAAUUCAGCUAGUAAUAGCAUUUUCAGUACUUUUCAUAAACUAAGUAAAUACACAAAAUGUUGAUUUUUCUGACCAUAAGACAUAUUUUAUGUCCUUUUGCCAAGGUGGAUGUGUUAGUCUCAGGCCCUCCUGGCCACAUUGCCCAAGUCACACAGGCUUCUGUAUUAUGUAUUUAGAUAAAAUGUGUGAAAAUAUAUUUGAAAAAAAAGUUCAUAAAUAUGCAUUGAUUUUUGUACA